UCGGGAAUUUUGGGCAAUGGGCGAAAGCCUGACCCAGCAACGCCGCGUGAAGGGUGAAGUAUUUCGGUAUGUAAACUUCGAAAGAAUAGGAAGAAUAAAUGACGGUACUAUUUAUAAGGUCCGGCUAACUACGUGCCAGCAGCCGCGGUAAUACGUAGGGACCAAGCGUUGUUCGGAUUUACUGGGCGUAAAGGGCGCGUAGGCGGCAAUUCAAGUCAUCUGUGAAAUCUCCGGGCUUAACUCGGAACGGUCAGAUGAUACUGCUUUGCUAGAGUGCAGAAGGGGCAAUCGGAAUUCUUGGUGUAGCGGUGAAAUGCGUAGAUAUCAAGAGGAACACCUGAGGUGAAGACGGGUUGCUGGGCUGACACUGACGCUGAGGCGCGAAAGCCAGGGGAGCAAACGGGAUUAGAUACCCAAGUAGUCCCUGAGCGGGCUGGCAAGGCGCAU
rnacentral:rRNA from 1 species